UGGUUCUGGCAUCGAUGAAGAACGCAGCGAAAUGCGAUAAGUAGUGUGAAUUGCAGAAUUCAGUGAAUCAUCGAAUCUUUGAACGCACAUUGCGCCCGCUAGUAUUCUGGCGGGCAUGCCUGUCCGAGCGUCAUUUCAACCCUCAAGCCCCUCCGGGCGUGGCGUUGGGGAUCGGCCCCGCUACGGCGGCCGGCCCUGAAAUGUAGUGGCGGUCUCGCCGCUGUCUCCUCUGCGUAGUAGAAACACCUCGCAUUGGGACGCGGCGCGGCCACGCCGUUAACCAGAUGAAAUUUUUCAAGGUUGACCUCGGAUCAGGUAGGAAUACCCGCUGA
rnacentral:misc_RNA from 1 species